rnacentral:rRNA from 1 species
AGCGUAGGCGGCUUGGUAAGUUGGAUGUGAAAUACCCGGGCUUAACUUGGGGGGUGCAUCCAAUACUGCCGAGCUAGAGUACAGGAGAGGAAAGCGGAAUUCCUAGUGUAGCGGUGAAAUGCAUAGAUAUUAGGAGGAACAUCGGUGGCGAAGGCGGCUUUCUGGACUGACACUGACGCUGAGGCUCGAAAGCGUGGGGAGCAAACA